GUGCUUGCUUCAGCAGCACACAUACUAAAAAAUUGGAACGAUGCGGAGAAGAUUAGCAUGGCCCCUGUGCAAGGAUGACACACAAAUUUGUGAAGCAUUCCAUAUUUCU
rnacentral:snRNA from 1 species